UACGUAGGGGGCAAGCGUUGUCCGGAUUUAUUGGGCGUAAAGAGCGUGUAGGCGGCUUUGCAAGUCCGUUGUGAAAACUCGAGGCUCAACCUCGAGACGCCGGUGGAAACUGCAAAGCUAGAGUCCGGAAGAGGAGAGUGGAAUUCCUGGUGUAGCGGUGAAAUGCGCAGAUAUCAGGAGGAACACCGGUGGCGAAGGUGGGUCUCUGGGCCGAUACUGACGCUGAGGAGCGAAAGCGUGGGGAGCGAACAGGA
rnacentral:rRNA from 1 species